rnacentral:rRNA from 1 species
ACUGUGAUUCCCUUAGUAACUGCGAGUGAAGCGGGAAAAGCCCAUCGUUUAAUCUUCCCGGACUGUGGUCGGGACGACAUGUAACGGUAUGGAUAGGUUCUCUAUCGGCUCUGUCUGGUCAAAGUCCUCCGGAUUGAGGUGCCAAAGAGGGUGACAGCCCCGUGUGUGACUGGAUAGAGUUGAGUAUGUGGCCGAUUCCGAGAGUCGGGUUGUUUGGGACUGCAACCUAAAGCAGGUGGUAAACUCCACCCAAGGCUAAAUAUUGACACGAAACCGAUAGCGAAUAAGUACUGUGAAGGAAAGUUGAAAAGAACUCUGAAAAGAGAGUUAAAAGUACGUGAAACCGCUAACGGGGAAGCGGAAGGCAGUGUCGAGAUUGAGUGAGUGAGUUGAUUCAAGUUGAUUAACAAAUUAACUUGGGGCGGCUAGCUUUGCUCGAUGCGUCAGGACUAUCGGUGUGCGGUGGCUCAAUUGGCGGCAUGGCUUCCGCGACACUGUAUAUUUAAUUAAAUUAAGUAUGCAGUGUCGCGGUUGCGGCAGAUGAUCCGCCUCGUGCGCUGGUAUGGAUGUGGUGAGGCGUUGGUGAUGUAUUGUCAGGUGGUGUUGUGUGGUGCCCCGCGUAGUCACAUUGAGGCUACGUGUGGCGACGUCUUGUGAUAUUUCAACAACCAGUGCCAGUUCCUGACAUGACACGUAACGAUC